CCUACGGGUGGCAGCAGUGGGGAAUAUUGGACAAUGGGCGAAAGCCUGAUCCAGCCAUGCCGCGUGUGUGAAGAAGGCCUUCGGGUUGUAAAGCACUUUCAGUGGGGAAGAAAGCCUUGGGGCUAAUACCCUCGAGGAAGGACAUCACCCACAGAAGAAGCACCGGCUAACUCCGUGCCAGCAGCCGCGGUAAUACGGAGGGUGCGAGCGUUAAUCGGAAUUACUGGGCGUAAAGCGCGCGUAGGCGGUCUGAUAAGCCGGUUGUGAAAGCCCCGGGCUUAACCUGGGAACGGCAUCCGGAACUGUCAGGCUAGAGGGCAGGAGAGGAAGGUAGAAUUCCCGGUGUAGCGGUGAAAUGCGUAGAGAUCGGGAGGAAUACCAGUGGCGAAGGCGGCCUUCUGGACUGACACUGACGCUGAGGUGCGAAAGCGUGGGUAGCAAACAGGAUUAGAUACCCCUGUAGUC
rnacentral:rRNA from 1 species